UAGACUGGGGGGGCACCCUGACCGAGCACGCCGCGUGAGUGAAGAAGGUUUUCGGAUCGUAAAGCUCUGUUGUAAGUCAAGAACGGGUGUGAGAGUGGAAAGUUCACACUGUGACGGUAGCUUACCAGAAAGGGACGGCUAACUACGUGCCAGCAGCCGCGGUAAUACGUAGGUCCCGAGCGUUGUCCGGAUUUAUUGGGCGUAAAGCGAGCGCAGGCGGUUUGAUAAGUCUGAAGUUAAAGGCUGUGGCUCAACCAUAGUUCGCUUUGGAAACUGUCAAACUUGAGUGCAGAAGGGGAGAGUGGAAUUCCAUGUGUAGCGGUGAAAUGCGUAGAUAUAUGGAGGAACACCGGUGGCGAAAGCGGCUCUCUGGUCUGUAACUGACGCUGAGGCUCGAAAGCGUGGGGAGCGAACAGGAUUAGAUACCUUGGGUAGUCA
rnacentral:rRNA from 1 species